UUUAUUUAGGUUUUGUUUUCUUCAUCAGCUGUUGCGCGUUACAAAUUCAAGACUAAUCUGCGACGGUUUCGGUUAAAACUUUGGUGAAACAACAAACUUUUAAGUGAAUGCAAAAUCAAAUACACAUGAGACUCCGUGAUGACAGCGGUGAUACAGGAUUUACCAGAGGAGAUGCUGGUUCAUAUUUUCUCCUAUUUGGAUUUCGAUGACCGAAAAGUGGCAGCCACGGUUUGCCGACAUUGGUCCGGGUUGGCUCUCCGUUGGGGCGAUAUUCAACUGGAGGUAGACUUUCGCCGGUCAGGUGUGGAGAGUACAUACCAUCAGGUGCUGAUGGCAAGUCAACGACCCUAUCGGCAUGUGACACUCUUCUUCGGCCACGAUUAUGCUAAGUGCGCUUUACUGCUGGACAUUUUAUCCCAAUUUGCCAGUACGUUGGACACGCUGACAAUACUGCCGAACAGUUUCAUCCCCGUCGAGUUGGUCUUUCUAGCUCAGGUUGCAGGUCUUUGCCCUACGUUGAAGCGGCUACAUGUCGAUGUUUGCACUUUUCAAAAUAAACCGUAUACGGAAAUACGUUUUCCACCAUUGAACAAUUUGUUCGAUUUAUAUGUGGAGAACAAUUUAUUGGAUCUACGAGAGAUCGAUAUACGGGAAACGAUGCCAAACGUGACUGGACUGCAUGUGCAGAUCAGUUAUUACUCGAAAAGACCGCAAGCUGUCCUACAGCACUUCGGAAAUCGUUUGCAGGAACUGGAGGUUUGGUUUCUCACUGAAGACCAUUUUCCAAGUGUUUGUGAAAUGAACUUUCCCCUGCUAAAGAAAGUGAAUUUCUAUUGCGUUGACUGCAAUUUCGAUGAUUUUCGUAUGAUCGGUCAAUUCGCAACAUUUUUCCAGCAUUGCCCUGAACUGGUGGAAGCCACCCUGCGUUGCAACAUCAACGCUCCUGUAUUAAACACUAUCACUCAAAUUUGCACAAAUCUUCAAAGUCUAUGUCUGAGUAUCGAAGAUCAUUCAGCGGAGUGCUUCCGGUCUCUAAGUGAAUUGCACAACCUGAAGCGACUGCGUAUUGAGGACGCUAGCAUAAGUGUUCCGGAGAUGGAAUAUUAUGUGGUAUUCAAAAAUCUGCACACCCUUACACUGUAUUCGGUACAGAUUGUACACUCGAGUAAAUUCAACAGUUUUAUGUGUAGUUGCUUCCCGAAAUUAGCUACCCUGGAGCUGCUGAACAUCUGCUGCGGAAUGAAUCAGGCGGAAAUGUUCAAACUUCAUAGUUCCAUUUGUAGUAAUCUGAAUACUCUCGAACGUCUAGUCCUUUGCGAAUCGGAGAGGCUGUUGGAUUUGGAUUUGUUCUUUUAUUUCGCUUCACUGGUGCGACUACGUGAGCUGAGGCUUGAAUUCCGCAGCUUAACCGAUUACAUCUGUCCCUACGAUACCAAUCUACUUUACGUUCGGACGUUGAUUCUCCACGUGCCACAAAUGCACGACGAAAGUCUGCGCAAAUUGAUCCAACUGCUGCCUAAGAUAAGACUGAUAAUGUUGUCCAAAAACAACGGCUUCUCGGUGGACGGCAUCCGGGCUAUCAGUGACCAACUGCCGGAGUGUGAUAUUAGAGUUAAGCGCAGGGUUCAGGUCUCAUGGACGAAUUUGGGCUCUGCAGCGAUCCGUUUUCGUCGCUCUGUAAGCUGGUAGUGAAUAGUUCAGGAUCAGCAAGUAAUCGACCUGAAAGCCAAAUUUUCCCGAUGUAUUCACCAAUCGCAUAAGGCUCCCUCUACUCGAAAACUCAUAUACAUCUCACCCUCAAGCCGGACGCGCAGUCAGCGUUCAGACUCCCCUUCUCCACUCCCGGAGGACAUAUUAAACCAGAUGGCAAGCUGCAUGAUUGCACGGUCUUUGUCGGUGGUUGAAUCGCCGAGGAGCACGAUGCAGCGUCUCCAAGAGUACGUGUUACGUUCUUACUUAGGUGAGAUGAAUUACUAUGGGAAAUACAUUCGGGAAAAGCGCACCUUCCGCCAACCAUCGGCGAGCUGUUAAAAGAGAGCCGUUUGACCGCUUCAAGGAAAUUCUCUUAUCGCCGCUUAUACUGACGUACAAUAAUCCUAGCUUUCAAAUAGUUGUGAACGCAGACGCGUUGAACGUGGGUAUUGGUACUCACAUCACACAUCGGCUCCCUGAUGGACCAAAGAAAGCUAUCUUACUGUUAGAUACGUAGGGUUUCAAACCAUGGAAAGAUGCUGUUACCGGGGCUGUAUCCUGGGUAGAAUCAAUACCACCGGAACUGGAAGGCUUUGAUGUUGUCAAACUAUAUUAUUCGGCACCGGAAGGCUCAAAAUGUAAAAGUAUGAUAGCUUUCCUCUCGAGUCUGUGACCUGGCGAAAGGCGAAAAAGAAAAUUGCAUUCGUUUGUAUACUCAUUCUCAUGGUACGUUUCGAUGAAACUAGACGCAGAAGAGUACGUUCCCUUUGUUACAGCGUUUCACGCGAAACUUGAACAGUCCUCGAUUAAUUUGGUGCUUUUUGUCCUGGUAACCUUCUAACCUGUCCGGGAGCGAUGACCUACGUUCUACAGGUUAUGGGCCCAGAACAAAAUUGUUGGCUAGAGUGCGCAUAGAGUGAGGCCAUUUUGUUCUUAAGGCGUGACUGAUUAGUGGCAGCAGCAAAGUUGGGAACGCUGUCGGUGUAUUGGCGCGGCACCAGUUUCCGGUUGCACAUAUAACCGUUCUUGUCUCGGGCAUCAAUUCGGUAAACAGCAACCAGAAAUCCGGAAAACGACCUGAAAGUCGCGAGCGUCUUUACUCAAGAAAAUGUGCAACCUGAAUCUGACUGAAGGUAGAGGGAAAAUGGAGAUUUCGGAUCGCCAGGUACACGUUUCGAAUGGUUAAGAAAAAGAAAAAAAUCAGAGAGGUGACGUUUGUACUCUACGCAGUGUCGUACAUCAGAAGGGGCAAACCGAGCAGUGGUUGCCAUCUCAACACCCCCGCUCAACCACAGGUCCAAUUCCUAGCGCUGAUCGUUGCUUCUUGAACGCAGCCGAUGAUAGACCCUUCGUCAUUAUGUCCGCCUGCUGGUUGGACGAGCAAACGAACUCCAACGCAAUAACUUUUUGCUGGAUCAGCUCUCUCAAAAAGCAAUAUUUAGUAUCGACAUGUUUUAGACGUCCAUGAUAUCUUGUAUCCUCAGCUAUUCUGAUUGUAGACUGAUUAUCUUCUGAGAUUGUGAUGUUCAAGAUCUAAAAGAACCCGUUUCAUCCACAACGUGUGACACGCAGCUGUCACCAACGCCGUAAGCUCCGCUUCAGUGGAUGACAAGGACACCGUAUGCUGUUUUUUUGUUGUCCAGCUGACUGUGCACCCAUAAACUUUAAAAACACCACCCGUAACUGAUCGCCGGUCGACGACAUCAUUUGCCCAGUCAGAAUCCGAGUACACGUGCAACAACUGAACUUUCGGCUCCAUUUUGUAUACUAUUCCGAAAUCUAGCGUUCCCUUUACAUACCGAAGAACUCGUUUCAGAUGUACCCAAUGUUCUUCAUUCGGGCAUGCCUGAAACUGACUAUAGUAGUUCAUUGCAGCAGACAAAUCAGGCCUAACAGUGAGCGAUGCGUAAAUUAAACAGCCCACCAGCUCUUAAUCGACUCUCCAUAGGGGUGGAAAUGGCCUUGCGUUUCAUCAUCUCGAACCGUCUGAGUAAGCUCUCAAGAUAUCCUCUUUGAUUGAUCAUCAUUACGCCAGCUUCGAUAUCCCGCUUGAUGCUCAUCCCAAGGAACUGUUUUACUUCCCCGGCAUCUGUCAUGUCAAACUCUUCACUAAAUUUUCGUUUAUACAAAUUAACAACCUGUAAUGACGCUCCAACAAUCAAGAUGUCGUCUACAUAGACUAUCACGAUGGUUCGGUGCUCUCCUUCACCGCUAAUAUACAGACACUGAUCAUUGACGCUUUGUUUCAAUCUCAGCUUCUCAGUAAACUCAUGGAACCUCUAAUUCCAUGCACGGGACGCUUGCUUUAGCCCGUAAAUCGAACGAUUCAAACGGCAGACUAAGUUUUUCCCGUGCUCGAAACCAUCCGGCUGAGUCAUGUAGAUUUCUUCACUGAGCAUUCCGUUUAAAAAUGCAGUACGAACUAGCAAUGGGCGAUCUUUGAAUAAAAAUCGAUUCUCCUGCAUCGAUUAAUUAAAAUAAAUAAAAUCGUUUCAUAAGAAAAUCGAGGCUGGAAAAUCGAUUCAACAAAAAAACGAUUUUUGUUCGGUAAAAGCUUUUUACGACCUUUUUUGGUUAUAUUUAUGGAGAUUUUGUUUUGUUUGCGUUUUCUGGUGUAUCAAUCAUGUUCAACGAGUUUUCGUUCACAACAUCUACUAACGAUACGGCUUUUUUAGUUUAUUGCCAUCUUCUUUUACCGCGUGUACUCUUUUGGCGUUUUUUUUCUUCUAAGAAUUUUCGUUGUCGCUCAUCCCAUAGACCAUUUCACGAGACGUUUGUGAACUUGAUUCAUGAACGAAAUUUUGACAGAAAGUUUGGAACCGCUGACAUAAUGCACGUGAAAGCAUCAUCAACGUCAGCAGGAUCCGUGACACCUGUGAGUUCGUGAAAUGGUCUUUUGUUUCGGAUGCACUAAGAGCAAUCCAAACCUGUAUAAUUGGGUUGUUUAGCUAUUCACGGAUUUCCGAUUUUUUUAUAUCAUCCAAAAGAGUGUAACUUUCUAAGUAAAACGUGAUUUUUCAAAACUUUAAUCAUUUUCCUUCGGUUUUUAAGAAAAAAACAAAAGCUCUAAAUCGCUACAAUGACAGUUGGUAGUUGGGCGAUCUGUCAUUGUAGCGGUUUCGAGCAAAUUUCAAGCAGUUUCAAAUCGUGAUUUAAAAAGCGAAGGACAAUUAUAUAUUUUUUUUAAAUCACGUUUUACUUAGAAAAUUCAGAUCUUCCAGAUGAGAGAAAAAACUGAUAUAGCUGAACAACCCAAUUCAUAAAAAAAUCGGAACAUCCGCAGCACAAACUCAAAUAAACAAAAAUGGCGAGCGUGACACCAUGCAGAACGAACAUUUAAUUCAACUUUUGCAAUAUUUGAGUUAACGAGUACCCCGCUACUCAUAGUUGAAAAAUAAGCGCAUAUGCCUUUUCUACCGAAAUCAAAAAAUUGGUG